GUGAGACAAUGGGGGAUAAUUCAUCGUCGAGAAUCGUUUUUUCUUUCUAUUCCUCUGGCUACUAAGAUGUUUCAAUUCACCAGGUUGUCUCUUGCCUGCCGAAGAGACGGGGAAAGGAACAACAAACAUUUUCAUACAUGUAUUCUAUGAAUAAGGGGCUUACCAAGGCGAUAAUCAGUAGUUGGUCUGAUAGGAUGAUCAGCCACACUGGGACUGAGACACGGCCCAGACUCCUAUGGGAG
rnacentral:ncRNA from 1 species